GCCAGGGGAAACCCUAGCUUCACCUAAUCUACCAAGAAAAUUAGUAGAGAUUCAAGGAAGUUGGAAGCACAAUCAGGAAAUCUCAAGCUUUUAACUUGUUCAUUGCAAGAGCGUGAAGGAAGAAGGCUCAAGUACUAAGAAACCGGAAAGCUCACAGGAUCGAGGUUAAUCCUCAACAUAGGCGACUUUGCGAAUUGGAGCGAGCACGUGUUCAAAAUAUGUUUACCAUGCGCUUCCGCUAGUUUGUGUUAGUGAUUUGGGUCAAAAUACUUUUUGUACCAUUUGUCGGUAGAAAAACUUUUAAUUUUUAAUGUUUUGGUUUUUAGUAGAAUCUUGUAGAAUGUAUUGUCUUGAUUAUGGUUAAAACAGGGGUAUACUCGUUUUACGGACGGGUCAUGCCCAAUUUUUGUAAAAUCAUACUUUAAUGUUAAAGGUUUUUCUUU